rnacentral:lncRNA from 1 species
GCCGAGUCCAUUUGCACUACUUUUAAAGGCAAGGAUAAAGCCAAGCGAACACACGGAACCAUCCAACACAGCCGUACCACUACACAUCUGCCUCCCUCUGCAGGAAAGGAGCCCUGGCCUUCUCCUUGAUCUGCCAGGAGCUGUCUGGGAUUUCUGGACAUGUUUUUCUCUGGAAAUACAUUCAGGCCUCCAUUGUUCUCUGUGGGAAGGCAUACAUGUGCCACCGCUCACACUGGAUGUCCUUAUCCCACCGUGGCCCAUGAUGGCUGAUUCCCAAAGGCACAAAGUGACCAACCUUUCAACUUAUACACAAGGUCUACACAUAUAUAUAUAUAUAUUUAUAUAUAUAUGUACAUGCCAACAAUUACAUACAUAUUUAAAUAUAUAUAUAUAUAUACACACACAUAUAUAUAUUUGGUUUUGGUUUCUCUCUUUGCUUUUUCUUUUUUUCCCUUUCCCUUCUCUUUUUCCCUUUUAACUUAAUGGCGUAACCUCCUCUGAGGAGGGCUCUGCUAUAUGUUCUGGAGACUCUUCUGUCUCCAAAGAGACUUCUGGCUUCUCCUCUGUCACUUUAGGCUCCUCGGGGGCUUGAGAUCCCUCUGCCUCCUGACUCUGAGCCUGGCUGUUCAUUUUCUCUUCUGCUUCAAUUUCCUCUGAGGUGGGAAUGGAGUUUUUCUUUGGACGGCCUUUGGGCUUUGUUGGAGCUUCCUGCCCACCUUUCAACACCAUUUUCUUCCACUUCAUCCUGCGGUUCUGGUACCACGUCUUCACCUGGAGCUGAGUCAGCCCCAGCGACUGCGCUAAGUCAAGCCUGUCGGGUGUAGACAAAUACUUUUGCUUCUGGAAUUUCUUCUCCAAGCCCAUCAGUUGGAGCUCUGUGAAGAUGGUCCGACUCCGGCGUGGCUUUUUUAACCGAGGUGUGGGCUGCUCUGCCUCCGACUCGCUGCUGCCGUGGGUCUCGCUGGCUGGCGUCUCCGAGCUCGCGGUGGCUGAGGUCUGAGCUGGCAGCACAUGGGAGCUGGUGGCAGCCGGAACGAGGUGAGGGACCACGGAGGGCUGCCUGGUGAUAACGGAGAUGAGAGGAUAUGCCCUCAGAGAAGGGGACCCCGCGCAGGAGUGCAGCGGCUUGGGCCGGACCAGGAGGGACGGACAGACGGAAUAGAGGGAAAGUUUCUCGAAGUAAUCGCACGUCUCCUUGGAGAGAAUUUCGUCGAUCAUGAAAGUCUUGUAGCGCCUCCUGCCUGCCUUGGCGAGCCGGGGCUGCGGCGGGCAGUGCAUGGCCGGCCCCGGGGCCGCGGGGCUGCGCGGGGCUGCCAGGGCGGCGGGCGGCCGCUCAUGGAUGGGGCGCGGAGCCGCCCGAGCUCCUCCUGCGGGCACUGCCCCCGCGCUCGGUCCGCGCUCCGCAGCGCUGGGCUACGCUGGGCUAUGCUGGGCUACGCUGGGCUCGGUUCGGCUCGGCUCGGCUCGGCUCGGCGGCGCUCCCUCGGCUCGCAGCGCCGCUGCCCCGCUAUAUAACCGUGCCGAUAAGCAUCUCCCCGCGGCCUUUUUAGGACGCUCCGGCUGUCAAUCAGGGCGCCCGCUGCUCCCCGCCGAGCACCAUUGUUACCCUGCGCCCGGUUGGGAGGAUCCCGGCGCUCCUCUCCCCUCCCUGCUCUCUAUUUUAAGAUACCGGGGUGUGUGCUUUGUGCUUUUCUUUCUU